AUUGAACGCUGGCGGCAGGCCUAACACAUGCAAGUCGAGCGGUAACACAGGGAGCUUGCUCCUGGGUGACGAGCGGCGGACGGGUGAGUAAUGUCUGGGAAACUGCCUGAUGGAGGGGGAUAACUACUGGAAACGGUAGCUAAUACCGCAUAACGUCGCAAGACCAAAGAGGGGGACCUUCGGGCCUCUUGCCAUCAGAUGUGCCCAGAUGGGAUUAGCUAGUAGGUGGGGUAACGGCUCACCUAGGCGACGAUCCCUAGCUGGUCUGAGAGGAUAACCAGCCACACUGGAACUGAGACACGGUCCAGAUUCCUACGGGAGGCAGCAGUGGGGAAUAUUGCACAACGGGCGCAAGCCUGAUGCAGCCAUGCCGCGUGUAUGAAGAAGGCCUUCGGGUUGUAAAGUACUUUCAGCGGGGAGGAAGGUGUUGAGGUUAAUAACCUCAGCAAUUGACGUUACCCGCAGAAGAAGCACCGGCUAACUCCGUGCCAGCCGCCGCGGUAA
rnacentral:rRNA from 1 species